ACAACAGGAACACAUAUAGCUGGAGUGCAGAUGGGAUCUGUGCUACUUACGCUAGCCAUGGGAUGAUUAGAACAAGAUAAGAGACAUGAGGAAGACUUCUUCAAGGAGGUGCUCAAGCCAUGUUUUGGAAAAGAGAACUCAAGGUCUGGCAGGGAGAAAGGAGCAAGGGCGUCUUCUCCCUGAAGGCUGUCACAGUUCCUGUGCAGAGAGCGAGGGCACUGCAGCACCCAGGCGCUGACUGCCUUUUGUCAGUCUCAUUUGCAGGCCCCCAGCUGGAGAACCCAGGAGGAAGAGGAAAAAAGUUUUUCCUCCUCUACACUCCCCAUGCAUGACUAAAGAGUAGGAGGAGUGAGCAAGGCAGACAUAUAUAGUACCCAGGAGGUGGACAAACAACUGCCUUGGUGGAAACUCUGACCUUUCUGGGCUUAUCCUGGUGCCACUGAGACUGUGCAGAUUUAGAUCUACAAUCCACCUGGAAAUGAUUUUUGUGUAUGGAGUGAGGUCCCACACUUACGGGGAAAGCAUCACCUGAAAGUGAGAACACCUAGAGGCAGGAAUCAUGGAGGCUUCCUUAACUGUCUGUCUGCAACAGCAGGUGCUAGAGAAGACACUGCAGAGUAGAGAACAAAGGAAUCUUAGUAAUUGUUCAAUCCAAUCGCCACACUUUAAAGAUGGAGAAACUGGUAUUGAGAAAAAUACACAGCUUACCCAAGGUUGCACUGCCGGUUGGUAGCUGAGAUGAAUUUAGAACCCACAUCUGAUGACUACACCAUAUUGCUCCCAGUUUACCUGUCUGUUCCACAUGUAAAAGUCUGACUCUUCACUUUUCCUUUGAGUAUAUAGACUUUUAACAUUUUUGUAUGUCAAGACGGAAUUUUCCUCAUACCCAGCCCCUGCCUUUUCUCCUCCCUUCGUACCUUGCAGGAUCUUUAACAGAAUUUAAAAGGAGUUUUUUGUUUUGUUUUGAUGUAUCUAAUAAAAGUCAAGGGAUGGAGAGGGCCAGUAGAAGCAAGAGAACAGUUUACCUAUUUUGUAGAUGCUGUAGUCUGAGGAAUCAGAAACACACAAAGGUUUGAAGAACUGGCACAUGCUCCCAGGUGGGAAGCCAGGACUCUUGGUAGGAUCUUGAGGACAAGGCAAAGGACAAUAAGAGAGUGAGGGGAUCCUAGAGGUGGAAUCAAGGAAGAGAAACUAGAGAGAGAGAAAGGAACUGGCUAUCCAUCCAAGAUGGAUCCUGUGUGGACUGAUGGGAGGCUUGGCAUCAUGCUUUAGUAGACUUCAUGUGGUUGAAUAAUUGGCCAAUGGGAGGAAUUUAUUUUUUGGUAACAGACUCUGUGUGUACAGUUAUGGGUCUUAAUUUAUAAUAAAAGAUUACAUUGAAAAUUGA
rnacentral:lncRNA from 1 species